rnacentral:rRNA from 1 species
GUGGGGAAUAUUGGACAAUGGGCGCAAGCCUGAUCCAGCCAUGCCGCGUGAGUGAUGAAGGCCUUAGGGUUGUAAAGCUCUUUCACCGGUGAAGAUAAUGACGGUAACCGGAGAAGAAGCCCCGGCUAACUUCGUGCCAGCAGCCGCGGUAAUACGAAGGGGGCUAGCGUUGUUCGGAAUUACUGGGCGUAAAGCGCACGUAGGCUGAUAUUUAAGUCAGGGGUGAAAUCCCGGGGCUCAACCCCGGAACUGCCUUUGAUACUGGGUAUCUUGAGUAUGGAAGAGGUCAGUGGAAUUGCGAGUGUAGAGGUGAAAUUCGUAGAUAUUCGCAGGAACACCAGUGGCGAAGGCGGCUGACUGGUCCAUUACUGACGCUGAGGUGCGAAAGCGUGGGGAGCAAACAGGAUUAGAUACCCCUGUAGUCC